rnacentral:rRNA from 1 species
CCUACGGGAGGCAGCAGUAGGGAAUCUUCCACAAUGGGCGAAAGCCUGAUGGAGCAACGCCGCGUGGGUGAAGAAGGUCUUCGGAUCGUAAAACCCUGUUGUUAGAGAAGAAAGUGCGUGAGAGUAACUGUUCACGUUUCGACGGUAUCUAACCAGAAAGCCACGGCUAACUACGUGCCAGCAGCCGCGGUAAUACGUAGGUGGCAAGCGUUAUCCGGAUUUAUUGGGCGUAAAGGGAACGCAGGCGGUCUUUUAAGUCUGAUGGGAAAGCCUUCGGCUUAACCGGAGUAGUGCAUUGGAAACUGGGAGACUUGAGUGCAGAAUAGGAGAGUGGAACUCCAUGUGUAGCGGUGAAAUGCGUAGAUAUAUGGAAGAACACCAGUGGCGAAAGCGGCUCUCUGGUCUGUAACUGACGCUGAGGUUCGAAAGCGUGGGUAGCAAACAGGAUUAGAUACCCCAGUAGUC